CCAUACCGGCCGGGGAACUAGCGGUGCCUUGUACCUGCAAUCCGCUACAGCAGGGGUUAUUUCCAAUUACGAGGGAUGUGUUUGUGUGGUCAAGCCGCGCACACUCUCCGUGAUGACGGACGGGUCCCGCGCAACAGACGGUUGUGAACCAUGUCAGGUGGGGAACCAAGCAGCAUUAAGCAAUUUAGUCUGUGUGCCGUGGGUCAGCCUGUCCCGAACGGGGAAUGCGAACAGCGCACAUAAAUUCAUUUCGAAUUUUGGUGUAUGG
rnacentral:SRP_RNA from 1 species